rnacentral:rRNA from 1 species
CCUACGGGUGGCAGCAGUGAGGAAUAUUGGUCAAUGGACGAGAGUCUGAACCAGCCAAGUAGCGUGAAGGAUGACUGCCCUAUGGGUUGUAAACUUCUUUUAUAAAGGAAUAAAACGAGGCACGUGUGCCUUUUUGCAUGUACUUUAUGAAUAAGGAUCGGCUAGCUCCGUGCCAGCAGCCGCGGUAAUACGGAGGAUCCGAGCGUUAUCCGGAUUUAUUUGGUUUAAAGGGAGCGUAGAUGGGUUGGUAAGUCAGUUGUGAAAGUUUGCGGCUCAACCGUAAAAUUGCAAUUGAUACUGGCAGUCUUGAGUACAGUUGAGGUAGGCGGAAUUCGUGGUGUAGCGGUGAAAUGCGUAGAUAUCACGAAGAACCCCGAUUGCGAAGGCAGCUUACUAAACUGUGACUGACAUUGAUGCUCGAAAGUGUGGGUAUCAAACAGGAUUAGAUACCCCGGUAGUC